CGAAGUGCGGAUGAGAUAAACGCUGAAAGCAUCUAAGCGUGAAACUCACCUCAAGAUAAGAUAUCCCAUAUCGUAAGGUAGUAAGACCCCUUGAAGACGACAAGGUUGAUAGGUCGGAGGUGGAAGCGCAGUAAUGCGUGCAGCUGACCGAUACUAAUAGGUCGAGGGCUUGAUCUC
rnacentral:rRNA from 1 species